GUGAAGACAGAGAGCCCCCAGGCAGAUGCAGAGCUCAGCCUCAGGAGGUUCAUGUUGGGGGUGGUAUUUGGGGAUGUGGCAGAGCCAGGGGCUGCAGACAGUGGCCAGGACAUCCCUUGGAGCUGGCUGUGUGGCCGUGCCAGGGAAGAGGGAGUAGGAGCUGCUCUCAUGGCAGGGGAUGCGGGUGAAAAGCUCCAGGGACUCGAGGCCAAAAAGGGCGGAGAUCCCCCACGCCGCGUCUGGCGCCUUCUUCCUCCCAGCGCCGUCAACAGACGCGACUUCCCCAAAUUAAGUUGAGCAGCCUUUUGGAGAAGGGGGUUGUGAUUGGUGAGACGGAGCCAGCGCUGUGCUUAAAGCCUCGGGGCAGAGGAGGAAGUGUCAGGCACACGGAGAGCCCCACGAGCCCCGACCAUGCGGCCCCUGCAGCGCAUCCGCCCGCUCCUCCUGCUCGCCCUGUUCGCCCUCUGCAUGUCUCUCUGCCAGGCGGAGGGUGAGAAGCAGCCUGCAAAAGAUCCUCUGCCCGCCAACGUAACGACCAGCGCCAGCCUGAGCCCCCCCUGCGGGAGCCCUCCGCUCCUCUCCAUCGCCCUGGGAGUGGCCGCAGCCUUCCUCCUGCAUCUGCGCUGACCGGGAGGGGGUCACCGUGCACCUCCCCGGACCCCCCAAGAGGACGCCCAAGAAGACCCCCCCCCCAAGGAUGACAUCCCCCGCACCGGCAGCACCGCGGCAUCGCUCCCAUCCAUCCCUGCCGCUCUCCGCUCCCCUCGUCCCGGAGUGAGACCCCCCGGCCCGGGGAGCGGAGCAAUAAACGUGCUGGUGUCGAGA